CCUACGGGAGGCAGCAGUGAGGAAUAUUGGUCAAUGGACGAGAGUCUGAACCAGCCAAGUAGCGUGAAGGAUGACUGCCCUAUGGGUUGUAAACUUCUUUUAUCUGGGAAUAAAAUGUUCCACGUGUGGGAUUUUGUAUGUACCAUAUGAAUAAGGAUCGGCUAACUCCGUGCCAGCAGCCGCGGUAAUACGGAGGAUCCGAGCGUUAUCCGGAUUUAUUGGGUUUAAAGGGAGCGUAGGUGGAUUGUUAAGUCAGUUGUGAAAGUUUGCGGCUCAACCGUAAAAUUGCAGUUGAAACUGGCAGUCUUGAGUACAGUAGAGGUGGGCGGAAUGCGUGGUGUAGCGGUGAAAUGCUUAGAUAUCACGAAGAACUCCGAUUGCCAAGGCAGUUCACUGGACUGCAACUGACACUGAGGCUCGAAAGUGUGGGUAUCAAACAGGAUUAGAUACCCGUGUAGUC
rnacentral:rRNA from 1 species